rnacentral:rRNA from 1 species
AUUGAACGCUGGCGGCAGGCUUAACACAUGCAAGUCGAACGAGUGGCGGACGGGUGAGUAAUGCUUGGGAAUCAAGCUUAUGGAGGGGGAUAACUACGGGAAACUGUAGCUAAUACCGCGUACCAUAGGAUGAGCCCAGGUGGGAUUAGGUAGUUGGUGAGGUAAAGGCUCACCAAGCCGACGAUCUCUAGCUGGUCUGAGAGGAUGAUCGGCCACACUGGGACGGGGACACGGCCAAGACUCCUACGGGAGGCAGCAGUGGGGAAUUUUGCACAAUGGGCGCAAGCCUGAUGCAGCCAUGCCGCGUGUAUGAAGAAGGCCUUCGGGUUGUAAAGUACUUUCAGCGAGGAGGCGUUACUCGCAGAAGAAGCACCGGCUAACUCCGUGCCAGCCGCCGCGGUAAUUC